AGUGAACGCUGGCGGUAGGCCUAACACAUGCAAGUCGAACGGCAGCACAGUAAGAGCUUGCUCUUACGGGUGGCGAGUGGCGGACGGGUGAGGAAUACAACGGACUCUACUUUUUCGUGGGGGAUAACGUAGGGAAACUUACGAUAAUACCGCAUACGACCUACGGGUGAAAGCAGGGGAACUUCGGGCCUUGCGCGGUUGAAUGAGCCGCUGAUGGAUUAGCUGGUUGGCGGGGUAAAGGCCAACCAAGGCGGGGAUCGGUAGCUGGUCUGAGAGGCUGGUCAGCCACACUGGAGCGUGGACACGGUCCAUAGUCCUGCGGGAGGCAGCAGAGGGGAAUAUGGGACAGUGGGCGCGAGCCUGGUCCAGCGAGAGCGAGUGGGUGAAAGAGACGUUGGGUUUGUAAAGACCGUUUGUUGGGAGAGAAAAGCAGUAGGUUAAUACCCCGCGGGACUGACGGUACUCAAUGAAGAAGCACCGGCUAACUACGUG
rnacentral:rRNA from 1 species